CCCACCUUUGUUUCUUGAGCACGAAAUGUACCAAGUACCAGCCGCAACCCAAUUAGUCCAGAGGUGGUUUCAGGCCUUGUCGAAAGCAUGUACAGCCUCUGUAAGAGCGUUGCAACAGCAGCAGAAAUAGACAAACCAGCACCGUAGAAUCGGGCCAACACUACAUCAGGGUCAGAGGGUGUGGUUGUCAACUAACUUGGGAGUCUCAAGAACUGGUACCCUUAUUCAUUCGUCCUUUUUAAGAUCCUUAGGAGGAUUAAUCCUACCGACUGCUUCCACCCAGGUCUAUGCACCCCCCACCCACCCUCACUUCACAUUUCACAUUUCACCUUUAAAGCCUUUUGUCUACUCUCCAAUACCUAGUGGACUGAGUCCAAUAACUAUUGGAGGAUUAUAGUCCAGAGGAGCGGUCCUGGGUGCCAACUGGAGACAUCUUGAAUCCAAACCUUAUCAGAGAAUUAACCAAUGGAAUAUCAGGAGCUAUCAUGCAGAUGCCCCGUCUGCCAUUGUGCAUGCCUCACUGUCCCCUUCCUUUCAUCUGUGUGCAUAAUGGAUGUCCAUCUGUGAGACACUUAUAAACAGAAGAAGGAGAUGCAGAUGUUAGCAGGACAAUGCAGAUGGCACACAUCACUCUCGCCAUCGUCGCAUAUCUGCCCUGCUGGCCCGCAGGCUGACCACAUCAGAUCAAAAACAGCAUCUCUUUUUAGGGGCCAGAGAGCAGCAGAGAGCAUCUGUGGGAAGCAAAUUGUUAUUCACAUCCACAUGUUUGUUGAGAAAUUGUUUGCAUGAUUUGAUGUACUUUGAAAAGGUCGGUGUAGAUACUGCUCACAGCAAAUAUAAAGUCAGGAUACUGACAGGCACGUUUACAGUGAUUUUAACAAAUAGAUGUAUUUACCUUACAAAUGACUUCACAUCUGAUGGAUAUGUGAAGAUAUUUGCAGGAAAACUCAUUGGAUUUAACUGAAUUUCUACAUAAAUUGGUCACAAAAACAGACAAACACAGUCUGCUUAACCACUUAAAAUGUACUGGAACCCAUUUGUGAUGGAUAAUAGCAUUUCCCCAGCAGCGUACUGUCACACAUUUGUGCUUUGAGAACAGUUUCACAUCACCAUCAAACUGAAAAUUCAAUUGGCUUUCACGUCGACCCAGAGAGGCAAUGUUCCAGAGAGAAUGAAAGACCAUCUGUCUGCCAACUGAAGCUCAGCAGAAGUUGGGUGAUGCAACAGGACAACAUCCCAAAGCACAGUGAACCAGAAUCGUUUGGAGAGGCCCAGUCACGUCUUGAUGCUUGGCUUGAGCUCAAGAGAGAACUUCACACCAGAUAUCCCAAGAAUGUUGCUGAAAUUAAACUGUAUCGUAAAAAGGUGCAAAAACUUCCACUAUUUGUGGAGGUUAUUACUGCCAAAGGGGGUUUAACAAUUAUUAAAUCCAAGGUCUUUUCAUGCUGAACUGUGAAUGUUUAAAUAUAGUGUGUUCAAUAAAGGCAGGAAGCAUUA